UGGAGCGAGAGCGCUGAGUGGCGGGGCCCAGCGCGUUUGGGGAGCCAGCGUGGAGGACUGGGCUUGUGCGGGGGCGCUGAGUAACACCUGGGAGCAGCUAGGGCGGUGGGGACUUCCCGAGCCCGGGACGCGCGCCAGGCCCGCGAUCAGCGUGGGCAGGUGGAGCUGAGCCCAGUCGGAAGCAGGUGCUCGGUGCGGGCUAGGCUGUGCCGGGACCGUGAGCCCGACCCUGCGGGCAGCUCAACCGGGGAAAACCCUUCCCCGCAGCGGGAGGGGAAAGCGCGUUCCUGACGUUGACAGCUAACGUGCUGGAAAGCGAGGGAAGCUGGUCUGCGGUGGAGCCCGAGUGGGGGAGCCGCAAAGACCAGCUGAGUCUUAAAAUCUCCCAAGAGGUGCAGAAAAUGAACACAUCUCAGCCAGAGACUCCAAGCGACCCUCCUGCAGAUGCCAGUGGGUCUCUGUCAGUCAUCUCUGUCUCCAGUAUUUUACACCACAGAUGGUAGUUACGCUUGAUCGCCGAAUUUCUGGUCUGUCUCCUCAACUUACUGAGACCUCCAGGUUCUGCUCUGGUUCUGCUAUGUGGCCUGAAACUCCAUUUUUCCUUUUUCCUGGGAUCCUGGUCCUACAGUGCCUGCCAUCUGCUGCUGCUUCAUCAUGGCAUAAAGUGGAAAGCCCAUGCAGUCCCUUUGUAAAGCCUAAAGCAUGUAGA